rnacentral:lncRNA from 1 species
AUGGCCAAAUAUAUAAAACAAGGUACUGUAUAUACAAAGAGGUUCUACCUUUUGUGCAUUAGUUUCCAUUCUGAUUUCUUCCUGCUUUCAGAGGUGUUUCGGGUUUGUGGGGGGGGGUUGCUUUGUUUUAAAUUUUAUGGUUUCUCCUUCCACAUAAAUCGUACCAAUCUGCCUCUCCCCAGCGCUGGUCCUCUAGACUUUUCCCCAUUCCGGCACCUUUCCUCAGAACUCACUGAGAACGGUCUUCCUCGUUGCUUUUCUUCCCUUCUUCCUCCCACUUCCUGCCUGGGCCGACCGCGCGGGCCGCGGGCCGCACCUGCAGGACGCGUUUCCAUUGGUGACAUCUUGGCGGGCCCGUCGGUGGCACUUCCUCCUUUACACCCCGUGACCCACGUCCGGCCCGCCGCCCUCAGUCACGCGGCCUCUGCCUCCGGGACGCAGCCCCGCGCGCCGGCCUUCCGGACUCUGGACCCGUCGUGCCACAAAAAGCUGCACCCAAGCUUGUUUGAC